rnacentral:rRNA from 1 species
UUGACUUUGAACUGCGAAUGGCUCAUUAUAUCAGUUAUAGUUUAUUUGAUGAAGGAUACUAAUUGGAUAACCGUAGUAAUUCUAGGGCUAAUACAUG